AGACUGACCAAGUCCCGGCUCAGCCUGCAGCUGAUUUGGGGGGCACCGGUUGGGAGACAGAAAUCAACGAAAUAAAUGUGCUGGGUUCUGGUAAGUGCUCUGAAGAAAAAAGAAGCCAGGAGAGGGAAUAGGGAGGGACUAGGGCUGGGGAUGGCAGUGUGCUAUUUUAGAAAAGGCUUUGCUGAUGAGGUGACAUUUGAGUCCCAGGCGAAUAGAGGUGGAGAGCCACACAGCAAUCCGGGAAGGCAGAGGGCCUAGUAGGUGCAAACGCUCCACAGUGGAAAUGCAGGCAGCUUGGGCAGGGGACGGUGGUGAGGAGACCCAUGGGCUGGAGUCCGACUCUCUUGGUGGCUCUGAUGAAGCAAAUUGCCGUUUUGAAGAGGCCCAUGUGGCAGGACAUUGAGGAUGGCCUCCACCCAAUGGCCAGUGAGGAAAUGAGGCCCUCAGUCCAACAGCCCUCAAGGAAACUGAGCUUCCCAAGAACUACGUAGAUGAGUUUGGAAAUGGAUCUCUCUGCAGUUGAAACUCGAGAUGAGACCAAGGCCUAAGCCAGUAUCUUGAUUGCAGCCUUGUGAGAGACCCUGCGGCAGAAGACUCAACUAAGCUGUGGCCAGAAAUACAAGCAAUACACUCAUAGACCUGGGUUUUACCUACAGCCUAUGGACGCUGCUGGUAACCUCCUAGUUUCAAGCAGGGCUGUAGCAAGAAGAAAUGAGAUAAUGUUUGCAAAGACACUUAAACG